rnacentral:rRNA from 1 species
CACGUAGGGUGCGAGCGUUGUCCGGAAUUAUUGGGCGUAAAGAGCUCGUAGGCGGUGUGUCGCGUCGGCCGUGAAAACCUGCAGCUUAACUGUGGGCUUGCGGUCGAUACGGGCAUCACUGGAGUUCGGCAGGGGAGACUGGAAUUCCUGGUGUAGCGGUGAAAUGCGCAGAUAUCAGGAGGAACACCGGUGGCGAAGGCGGCAUCCUGGACCAAUAUUGACGCUGAGGAGCGAAAGCCAGGGGAGCAAACGGG